GCAACAAUAGCUUAAUUAAGAGCAAUGGUCUUGUAAGCCAAAGGUAAAUAAAAUAUUUUUGUUGUU
rnacentral:tRNA from 1 species